CCACUGAUCCAACCAUCUACCCAUCCAUUCAUCCAUUCAUCCAUCCAUCCAUCCAUCCAUCCAUCCAUCCAUCCAUCAAUAUUUACUAUUCUCCAAAGUUUAUAUUGCAGUAGGGGACAGGAGAUAUAUCUGGGGACUUAGUAUACAAACUUUCAUGAUAUUAAGAUCUUAUUUCACAGUUGGAGCAAAGGCUCGGAGGUUAAGAGUAACUACUGCUCUUGCAGAGGACCUGAGUUUGGUCUUCAGCACCGAUAUGGUAGCUCACCACUAUGUAUAACUUCAGUGCCAGGGCAUUUGAUACCCUCUUUUGGCCUUCAUGAGCAGUGAAACCAUAUGGUGCAUAUACAUACAUGCAGGCACACACUCAUACACAUAAAAAAGAAAAAAAUCAUCUAGAAAAAGGAUCUUAUGUAUUUUUAUCUUUUUUUUCUCUUUUUUGAGUCAAUGUCUCACUUUGUAGCACUGGCUGCUGGCCUAGAACACUGUAUGUGAGCAGAAUGGCUUUGAACUAGGAAACCUCCCUGCCACUGCCGCCCCAGUGCUGGGAAUAAAGGCUUGUGCCACCAUGUCCAGCUAUUAAAUCUCAUCUCAUUCCAAGAGACUCAGAUCCUGUCUGAAGUUAACCUAACUUUCCACAAUAUGAGCCUCGUCUCUCUCUAACUCAGUCUGUAACACGAGCCUCAUCGUUCCACCCAGAUCAUUCUGUUUAUAGCGCAGCUCUCCAAGUCAGGUGUCUGAACAAACAGGUAGGCACCUGCUCAAAGCUCAUUGGAAGUGUACAUUCCUGACCUCAUCCUGCACUGAUCUAUGCCAGACAACCGCAGACCCACAAACACAAUCGAAAGCUUGACAGACCACAGAUAGUUGUAGACAGUGUGUUACACCACUGGUAAGUGAAAUCAAAGAGUAAAAGUAAGCCAGAAAACUGACUGGCAGGCUUUAAAAACCUCAGAAUUAGCAGUUUGGAUAACAAUGGAGAAUAUUUGUCCUGAGCUAAAACCAGGUGUAAUCAGAGCUUUCCCACUGCAAGAUUGGAAGUCAAAGGAAGCUGUGAUGGUACAGAGGUGGCUGCAAGUGCAGUAAGGAGAUGGUUGUCAUCUCAAAGUCCCCGGGGAAAUUCACUCUUUUUGCAUCUCAUCCUCAGGAACAGACUUGAUCUGAGCAACACCUCCCCACUGUCAAUGAAGUCUUGUCAACUCAGGGUCUGCCUCCUUUUGGUUUUUUUGCCAUGUCAUCUGCCACAACUUCCCUGGCCCCACUAUCCAUCACCUUCUCCUGCCAAUGCUCCUUGCACGCCAUUUUCAUUGCUCUCAUUAGAAAGUUGUAUAGCACUAUGCACUAAUUGAGAUGUUUGCUAAAAAAAUGUCUGCUUGUAGAUUACAUAAUUAAUAGCUAUUCCUUUCUAGUCACAACUUACUGUGUGAUUUUAUAGAUUUUAACAAAACCACUGUUUUUAUCCAACUUUUUUUUAUUGUUUAACAUUCUAAUGCUGAAAAAAGAAGAAAGGAGUCGGGAGCAGUGAGAUGAACUAGAUAGUAAGUGGGCUUAACAGGAAGUUCAUAUACUAAAUAUGGUGGAAUGAGAGAACCAACUCCCUCAAAUGAUCCUCUGGAGAUGAGAGAGAAAGAGACAGAGAGAGAAAGAGAUGGAGGAGAGAGACAAAGAGUAAACACACAUGUGUGCACACUCUCAAUGUGAAUAAUACUCAAUCUAUUGGUAAAAGUUUAUCUCGGAACAGUUCAGUUUGGCUCCCUGACACGAAGCUCUUUCCUCUCGAUGCUUCAUCCAGGAGAAAAAUGACCUGCUUCAAAAUCCAGCAAAAGGGGGUGUAACAUAGUCAUUGAUUGGCUGAAUAAGACCUCUGGACCACGUGCAAUUGCAGCCACAGCUGCAGAGAUGGACAUUUCCAUCAGGUUCUCUUUGCCUUUAUAAUGUCGGCAGAAUGUUGGUAUGCAGUUCAGUCUACACUCAACCUUAUUAUCCUUCUCAUGUACCAGUAAGAAGGCCCGGCUGCUCUUAUCUGGAUUCGUGGGAUCACCUUCCCAGCAAAGUGCCAUUUUCAAGUCCUUGUCUUUGUUGUACAAAUAACCCAAACAGGACAGUAGCUUACUAAUGUAUUCAGCAAUAUUAAUCCCCUUCUGAUCUGACAUUACGUGUAACACAUUUGACUUAUAUAUUUUAUGGUCUUUUCCUCCUAACAGAGCCCAUGAAAGAAAGAGAGUGGAGAUGGUAGCAUGGGCGUCAGCAUUUUCACUGCCUCUCCUACCAGAUUUACAUCGAAGUGGGCAUGUCUGUGCUGAUGAAUGCAAAUUUGUACAGCACGUAAAGAAAAUGCAAAGUGAUUCUGUGCCAUCAAUUUCUUUCAUUCCAUGCUUAAUGUCAGGUCCGGUAUUUUAUCUCACAGUCCUGAAAAUUGCAUUUGCCUGAUCUGACAUUCUAGAUUGAUAACAAUAAUCACUACAGAUGCAAACUCUACCUUGAUCAAAAUCUGUACAGGUAACCAUGGAGUUAAAAAACAGACUUUAAAUUCUUCAGCCUCCUAUGGCUUUGGAACUUUAAGGUAGAAAUAUAUCACAUUAUAAAAAGAGAAGAACUGUUUCAUGUAGUGCCUCGUAAGAGGGAAUUGUAGAAGUGGGUUAUACAAAGGAAAUGAAGUUUUACCUUUGACGAUCACUCCUCCAUUUUUUAAAAAAAUGUUUCUUUUUUUCUUUUACGCUUCCAACACAGAAAAAGAUCCUAACUUCAGGUUGUUGUGAUAUUGUUAGCCAGAUGUCACUCUUGGUAUGUGAUGUUCAACUGCUCUGAAAAAUAACAAAUGCAAUAAUUAGACAUGAUGACUCAUUCGAAACAGAAACUCACUGAGGACUGAUCUCAUAAAAAUGACACUGGGAGCCAUUAAAUCCACUGAUGUGAGACAAAGAAAUCUACAUGGUGGUUCUUGUGACGAUAUUGCACUCGGUAUCUUUAUGCAUCUCAGAAAAUCAAAUCAACCAGAAAAUAAAAACAUUUAUGUCACUAUUAUAGGUUUUUGCUCAUAAUUCAAGAUGAGGCAGUAGACAUAAUCACACAAAAAGAAGAAAACAGACCAGUCUGCUGCUGCCUGUGUGGAUAGCCUCUGGGUCUGUCUUCACCACGAAGCAGACGUGAAUUUUCCUGCGAAAAGGCCUAUGAAAACGUGGGCUCAAUAAACGAAUGUAAACAGCA